rnacentral:rRNA from 1 species
GACGGACGCUGGCGGCGUGCCUAAUACAUGCCAGUUGAGCGCUGAAGGUUGGUACUUGUACCAACUGGAUGAGCAGCGAACGGGUGAGUAACGCGUGGGGAAUCUGCCUUUGAGCGGGGGACAACAUUUGGAAACGAAUGCUAAUACCGCAUAAAAACUUUAAACACAAGUUUUAAGUUUGAAAGAUGCAAUUGCAUCACUCAAAGAUGAUCCCGCGUUGUAUUAGCUAGUUGGUGAGGUAAAGGCUCACCAAGGCGAUGAUACAUAGCCGACCUGAGAGGGUGAUCGGCCACAUUGGGACUGAGACACGGCCCAAACUCCUACGGGAGGCAGCAGUAGGGAAUCUUCGGCAAUGGACGAAAGUCUGACCGAGCAACGCCGCGUGAGUGAAGAAGGGUUUCGGAUCGUAAAACUCUGUUGGUAGAGAAGAACGUUGGUGAGAGUGGAAAGCUCAUCAAGUGACGGUAACUACCCAGAAAGGGACGGCUAACUACGUG